UAUUGCUUUGAGGCGCAGUCACUGCAGUGCGUGCCGCUGCUUGCAACGAGAUGCACCUGACCAUUCGUUGAUUGUUGAUCCUUACAAGUAAGAUUGAUUCGUUUUAAUUCAGAGAAGUUAACAUAACCAAUUAAUUUAAUAUUCAGCUAUAAACACAUUGUUAAGGUUUUCCUCUUCAUCUCUUAUCAGGCUCAUUGGUCUUUAGUAAAAAUUAACAAAUAUGAACACAACGGAUUUAAACGCCCUUGCAAUUGAAGCUCUACUCAAUGAAGCAAAACUUGGUGCGCAAAGAGCUGAAAUAAUGGGACCAUCAGGAUGGGUAAAAC